GAGGGUGUUUCGGGCGCGGGGCGGGUCUAAGUGCCCUGGAACGGGACGUCGGAGAGGGUGAGAACCCCGUAUGCGACCGGCCCUCGAGCCCGUGUGAAACCCCUUCGACGAGUCGAGUUGUUUGGGAAUGCAGCUCCAAAUGGGUGGUAAAUUCCAUCUAAAGCUAAAUACGGGCCAGAGACCGAUAGCGCACAAGUAGAGUGAUCGAAAGAUGAAAAGCACUUUGGAAAGAGAGUGAAACAGUACGUGAAAUUGUUGAAAGGGAAGCGCUGGCGACCAGACCUGCGCCCGGGCGAUCAGCCGCGACUCGCUCGCGGUGCACUCGCCCGGGCCCAGGCCAGCAUCGGUUCGGGCGGCGGGACAAAGCGCCCGGGAACGUAGCUCCCUCCGGGGAGUCUUAUAGCCCGGGCGGCCAUGCCGCCCGCCCGGACCGAGGACCGCGCUCCGGCUAGGAUGCUGGCGUAAUGGUCGUCAGCGACCCGUCUUGAAACACGGACCAAGGAGUCUACCAUCCAUGCGAGUGUUUGGGUGUCAAACCCACGCGCGGAAUGAAAGUGAACGGAGGUGGGACCCCCCCGGGGCGCACCAUCGACCGAUCCAGAUGUCUUCGGAUGGAUUCGAGUAGGAGCAUGGCUGGUGGGACCCGAAAGAUGGUGAACUAUGCGUGAAUAGGGUGAAGCCAGAGGAAACUCUGGUGGAGGCUCGCAGCGGUUCUGACGUGCAAAUCGAUCGUCAAAUUUGCGCAUAGGGGCGAAAGACCAAUCGAACUAUCUAGUAGCUGGUUAC
rnacentral:rRNA from 1 species